UCGUUCUCAAAACCAAACUGUUGUCGUUCAAAACCCAAUGUCUGUCGAUGAGAGUGGAAAGUUGGUAAGCAUCUAAUUGUUCAUUCAUUUAUUUAUUUAUUAGGCCUCUUCAGAUUCAAGUUGUCGGCCUUAUUAUUAAUGAUACAAUUUCUACAUUUUUUCAGGUGAGCAAUGUUGUUGUUGGCGUAACAACAACAUAGUUGCAUAUGAGUUAAAGAAGUUGUUCUUUGAAGACAGUUGAAAAGUUUUGCUCGCAUCAAUGGAAAGACGAGUAUAAAGAUGGCUCGCUGCAUAUAAAUAUGGUAGUGUCUAGUGUUAAUACUAUAGCCAAUAUACCCCUAUUUUUCUGUAACAUUUUGAAUAUGAUUGGGUGAUUGAGGCUACAGUGAUUUGUGUGAUUAUUUGGAGUCAGUUAUUGAUGAACUACGCAUUAGAUUUGUGGCGUGAAUAUGCCCAAUGACAUAAGUACAGAAUGUUAUGUACCUUAUAUGCCUGAUAUUAAUAUAUAUGACCUUGAAACUUACAGGUCUUAAGGCCUUGCUUUACGAUAUAAUAAUUACUAUAAAAUGGCGAAUUGAUCCAAAGUUAGCGAGUUCAGAAUGUGUGUAAUCUUUAUAUGUAUUUAUUUGCAUACAUUUAACUCUUUCGCAUAUGUACAUAGUUCGAACUGGAAGUACUGAAUUCGGUUGAACCGCCGGACACGUCCUGAAUUUGUCUCUAAUUAAUACUGACAUGAUAUAGUCAUAUUAUUUUAUCUGCUGUUGGAUGAAAUACACUUAUUUAUUUUUGAGUUUCUGGAAGUAAAUUUCAAGUUUGUUAGAAUAGAGUUGACAACAAAGGUUCCCAUAUGAAAGAAAUUCUAACCUAAAAAAAAUAUAUAUAUAUAUAAAUCUUGCAAGCAUGAGCUAAAUCGUAAGAGCCUUUUACUAUAAAUUGAAUUGCUGGUAAGAAAUUAACGAUUGGAACUUAUUUCUUUGAGAGUGCGUACGAUUGUCAAGAAAAUGAAAGAUAUAAUUUCUUUUGAACUUUUUCGUUCAACAACAAUAUUAAGGUAAAAUACUGCUGUCAUCCCCUCCCCCCUUCCCCACAAAAUAAAAAAUAAAAAAAAAAAUCCCAUGUAUUUAUGAAGGCUGAGCCUAAUUACUAGUUGGUUUAAUAUCUCAGUUUUCCACGCAUAAUCACCUCACAAUAUACCUACUUGAAGAUCAUGUCUAAACUUGUCCCAUACUUUAUAUACAAUAAGACUUCCAUUUUCCCACCAACUGAUUAACCUUUGAUGACAUAAAAAGUAAAAUAAUGAAAGAAGCGCCAUUAUAUAUGAAUCAACUGGCAUGAGUAGCUGCAUAUUAGAAAUUAAGCAAACACAAAAUGGCUCAAGAAAAUGGAGAAAAACCAGCUGUGGCUGCAGGAAGCAACAACCAACAGUUAGUAGGGAAAAAUAACAACACUAGUAAUUAUAAGCCUAAGGAUUAUUAUAAUUGGGUGAUGGCAUUGUUGAGGUUAUUGGCAUUUGGUGCAACAAUUUCAGCAACAUUAGUUAUGGCACUUAACAAGCAAAAGAAAACUUUUGUUGUUGCUACAAUUGGUACCACUCCUAUUCAAGCCACCCUCACUGCUAAGUUCCAGCACACUCCUGCUUUUGUGUAAUCCCUUUAAUUUCUCAUUAUUAUCUUAUAAGUCCUUUUUGUAAUUCCUUUCUAUUUUCGGUAUGCAUAAAUUAAAUUCUUGUUAAACUUAUAAAACUCUUUUUCUAUCAUUUUCAUAACAAAAAACCCGGUGUAAUUCCGUAAGUGAAGUCCCGGGAGGGUAAUGUGCACACAGAUCUUAUCCCUACCUUGUGAAGGUUGAAAGGUUGUUUCCGAUAGACCCUUGACUCAAUAAAAGCAUAGUUAUAUUAUUGUUGAACCUAUCACUCUUAUAAUUGGAGAAAAAUAUUGGUAUAAUAUAGCUAGGGUGGUGAUUUAAUUUGUGGAUAAUAUGCAGGUUCUUUGUGAUAGCAAACGGACUGUGCAGUCUCCAUAACUUGCUCAUGUUACCAGCUUGUUUUAUUGGAAGCAAAUAUGAUUUCAAGGGACUUCGUUUUUAUGUGAUUGGUGUCCUAGACAUGGUAAUCAAUCCAUUUAAUUAUCACUAAUUCCCCAUUAAAAAUAAGGUAUUUUCCUCUAGCGAUUGUGAGCUUUGGAGCGACGAUAAAGUUGUUAUUGUGUGGCCUAUAGAUCACGGGUUCGAGUCAUAGAAUCGGCCACUACUGAUGCUCGCAUCAGGGUAGGUUGUCUACAUCACAUCUCCUUGAGGUUCAACCUAUCUCCGGACCCUGUGUAAACGCGAUAUGCCUUGUGCACCGGUUACCCUUUCUUUUGCUCUAUCGAUUUUGAUUAAAUGUCUCCUUUUCAUUAAUCAUAAUUUAAUCCUUUAUUAUAUCUUUUAAAUUGUUUGGAUUUUCUAGAUGAAUGUGGCUCUAGUAUCUGGUGGGGCAAGUGCAGCAGCUUUUAUGGGGCAGCUUGGUAAAGAUGGGAAUUCUCAUGCAAGAUGGAAUAAAAUCUGUGAUAAAUUUGAUAUAUACUGCAGCCAUGGGGAAGGAGCUAUUAUUGUUUCUUUUAUUGGUUUGCUCCUUAUGAUCAUUUCGACUGCCAUUAAUAUAAUUAAGCUUAAAAACAUCCAAAAUUCUGGCAAUUAUGCCAUUAUUCCUUGAUCAAGAAGCACCAUGUCAUUUUAUAACAAUCUUUCUAUAUAUGGUUUUCGGGCUUAAUUGCACCGUGUUUUCGCCUUUGCCUAUUAAAGCAUUUAUUACUGUUACAAUUAUAAUGAAGUUUUCGUAUUGGCUUUGAUAUUCAUACUCUGAUGCCUGCAUCAUCCGAGGGUUCUUUUUCUCUUUUUUUUGAAGCGUUUGAUUUUUCUUUUAUUGGGCGAAUUGAGAGCUUGUAGAUAUCGCCAUGUCCUCCAUAAUAACCGUGUCGAUAGAGUGUUUUUGGUUUCGAGUUGGUUUGACCUUCACUGAAUUUUAAUGAAAGAAAUCCCUCUCAUCCUAAUUUCAUCUAUUGAAAAGAAGGUCAGGGGCAAUAUCUGAUUCUAUCUUUUUGGUUCUCUCUUAUAGGAAUAUAUGAAUUUAACUUAUACAUAUAGUGUAAGAAAUAUUUGUAUUGGUUACACCCCGUAAUAUUGUACAUUGAAUUGUUAUAAAAUAAUUGAUAUCAGUUUAAGGACAAGAUUAUUUUGAGGUUACAAGCAUUUAUGCUAUUUAUAACAGACGAUAAGUAAGUGCCGUAAAGGUUGGAGGGUAAACGAAUCAAAGAAAAUGUGUCUCGUCGAACGUUGUCAAUUUGGGAUAAAAUACGAUCUAAGCUGUAAUACUCGGUACUUAUGAACUAGUACCAUACAAGCUACCACAUGAUCAUAAUAAUAAGGUGUAUAAAAUAUAUUAAAAGUAAAUAAUAUUUAAGUAAUUUGAAAUAUCUUAAUUAUGUAAAUAAUUAAAUAAUUAAUAAUUUUAGUGGAAGAUUGACUAAUUAAUUAGUUAUUUGGAUAAGCUUGAUUAGCCUCCUAACGUGGCAGCCCAAGAGGUCUUGCUUUAAAGCCUAUAAUAAUAACAACAACAACAACUACAACUACAACUACCCAGUAUAGUCCCACAAAGAGAGGUCUGGGGAGGGUAAUAUGUAGACGAGCCUUACCCCUACCCGAAAGGGCAGAGAGGUUGUUUACAAUCGACCCUCAGCUCAGUAAAGGAAAGGAAAAACAAAAACAAAAAAUAAAAGAGCAUUAGUAACUCCAGCAGAAAUAGCGUAAAUAAUUAUCUAAACAUAAGAACCAUAAAUAAAAUAGUAUGCAAUAAUAUCAGACAGNNNNNNNNNNNNNNNNNNNNNNNNNNNNNNNNNNNNNNNNNNNNNNNNNNNNNNNNNNNNNNNNNNNNNNNNNNNNNNNNNNNNNNNNNNNNNNNNNNNNNNNNNNNNNNNNNNNNNNNNNNNNNNNNNNNNNNNNNNNNNNNNNNNNNNNNNNNNNNNNNNNNNNNNNNNNNNNNNNNNNNNNNNNNNNNNNNNNNNNNNNGCAUAGCCCUGCCAAGCCUCACCCAACCCCGGGUGAGGAGUACGAAAAACUCUAUGAGCCCCUCUCCUAUACUAGACCUCCAGACUUUCCUAUCAAGGGCCAUGUCCUCGAAAACCCGCAUUCUAGCUCUUAGGCCUCCCCCUGCCUCACCGUACGCCGGCAAUCGCCAGCCGCUCACAACUCCUCACCGAGGCAUCAGGACUUCUCCGCACAUGUCCGAACCACCUCAGCCUCGCUUCUCGAAUCUUCUCAUCCACUAGGGCCACCCCCACCUUCUCUCGAAUAAUGACUCUUAAAUCAAAGAUGGAAAAAUUGGAAGAAUUUUGGUGGCCAAGUAAUAUGUAAGUGGGGCCCAUACCCAGAUUUAACACUUCUCUAAUUCACUUGUGUCUACAAGGUAACGAAGAAACCUUCACCAAACUCUUAAGAGAUUAUAUUGUGUGAUAGCGACGUAAUUUGCUACGAACAAAAUUCAUACUAGUCUUCAUAAGGUAUUAGCAAUUGAAAUUGCGAUCAUAAGAAAGUACGGCAUAAUUAUUCUUAAGAAUAUUAUAUAAAUUUUGUUUUAUUUUGAUCUAUCAUUAUAUAUUUUUUCAACGUAUGUUGGAAGGAUUGUCAAAAGAAUUGGCUCAUGUAUGUUAAAACCACCAUCCCGCAUGUGUCCUAUUUGUCACACCUUCCUUUUCUACCCUAGACGGGAUAUAAAGGAAUUUUUUUUAAUUCAAGUACAAUCGAAACAAAAUUAUUUAUUUUAAAUUCAGAGUUGCAAUUUGAGAUAAUUUAUGGUACCCCAAUUCACCGGUUUUAAAAUCCCUAAUCGAGGAUGGUUGACUCUAUUGAUGGGUGUGAACGCAGCAAUCCGGAUACGAAAUUCUUUAACCCGAGAUAAGGUGUCUGGCAUUCCCAAUUUCUGUGAUUUUAACACGGUCACUUAACUAUUAUUAUUGACCUAAUUAUAUGAUUAAUUACAUAUGUUAUACCUUGUACAUUUUUAAACCUUUGACCACUUUUAAUAUUUUUAGGAAAAUUCAUGAUCUUCAAACACUCGUCAUGUUUUUAAAGUAUAUCAUAAAUCACAUUACAUAAAAUGCACCCGCAGUUCAUGAUAUAUUUACUUUAUUUAACAUUAUUAAAAGUUGAAGUCACGUCACAUGAAAUGUAUAACCGGAUCUGAGAAUUAUGUUACACAACUGUCUCACAGGAACCGUACUUGGAGCCUUGAUAAUUUUUAGGUUGCAAAUGAACAGCGAAAUAAUUUUAAGAACAAACAUGAUCGAAUUAACAGGAAUAUAAACUACAAGCUACCUAAACUUGAAGGCAAAAGAGAAAAGAUUGAAUUAAACAGAAAACAAUGCAGGCCUUCCUAAGAAAAAGCUUCAUUUUUAUCUUAUUAUAAAAAUGAAGAUACCACAACUCCAACUCAAUUAAACAUGAAUUAGCUAAUUUUGCAACAGAGAAUGAUGAACUAUUUGACUAAAUCGAGUUAAACACAACAGAAGAUCAAUCAAAUGAUUUCAAUAAAUUCCCAAGAAAUUAAAUAUUCGACUCACACCUAAAUUCGCAAAUGUUUUUAACUAACAUCAAGCACGUAAUAUCAACAAGAGCAAACAGCUGACACCAAACAAUCCUUAUAAUGAGAACAAAUUCAAAUAAAACAAAAAAAAUAAUGACAAACUCGAAUUCAGUCUUCAUGCUCGAGAUCAUUAAGUUCAACACUCAUGAACAUCACAGGAAACUAAUUUUGCCAUUAUGAUAAAAAACAUGGACUAUCGUGCACUUAGCAAGAAGAUCAGAACCUUUUAAAAUGAGAAGAUCUAUGGACGCGAGCAUAAGAUUUUUAGCCUCAAUUAACAAUUACGAAAUUUGACCGGCCUGUAUCGGAAUAAAGCAGAAUAGGGCAAGAUUGACAUUCAAAUAUAUAUAGAAAUCUAAAUAUGACCUCAAACAUUCAGACCAAAUCAACAUCAAAUUUAAAGAGAGAAUCAACACCAAAACUAAAGAGGGCGUAAGAAGAUGAACCUGAAAUAGAAACUUUCAUUUGAUAAUAGAAGUGAGGUCGACUAUAAAGCUUUGAUUCCAAAAUCCCAACAAGAAAAUAACAGCAAUUCAACCCAAGAAACAGUGAACCAGCAGAAUGACUCGGUCAAUCAAACUCCUCAAAACUUCAGUUGAAUUCAAUUUUUCAACCAAAAUUUCGAAAAUAAAACAGAGAACUUCACUCAAUCAAGACCCAUUCUAGAGAAACAGAAAUCAAGAAAAACAAAAAGUGCUGAUAUCUUUUUUGGCGAGUUUUUGAUUUCUUUUGAAAUGAAACAAAACUCCAAAAAAAAUCAAACUCAAACUAUUUUUGUAUUUUUGAUUUUUUUUCUGGAAUGUAAACCAAGCGUGAAUAAUUUGAAAGAAAACUCAAAGAACCCUAGAAUUUUUAACUCUUCCAAUUUAUCCAAAAAAUCUGUUCUCCCAAAAAACUAACUUACCUCUGAAGAAAAAUCCCAAUAUAUAAGGGAAUCUCGAACCUUCUAUCUUCCUUCCCAAGAUAUCCCCCAGAUUUAAUCACAAAUCCGAAAAAACCCAGUCUCACAUAGAACAAAACUCGGACAAAUGGAAGGUGUGAAUGUGAUUUCUCACGUCCAACCGCUCACAUUCACCCGAGAUUCAAAAGCGCGUGCGAAUGAUGUGAAGCUGAAAAUAUUCUGUCAGAGAAGGUUAUGCCACGUUGGAGAGAUGAAAGGAGGGGCCAUGUGCGAUGAGUUUGGGGAUGAACUCGUUUGAAACUGAGACGAGUUUGGACGAGCUUGGGCGAGCAUAAUCGGAGCUGGGUGGGCGCCGUUUCCAUGUUUCUAGGUUUAGGGUUUCAUUUUCUAUGGAAAUGUUGUAAUGGGGAUUAUAUAUUAAAGGGUAGCGGGGGUGGGUCAAAGGGAGCGGGUCGCAGGUUAGGGGUAUUUUUGGGCUGGGCGGAUUUGGGUAUGAAAGGGA
rnacentral:lncRNA from 1 species